UACGGAGGGGGCUAGCGUUGUUCGGAAUUACUGGGCGUAAAGCGCGCGUAGGCGGACCUGCAAGUCGGGGGUGAAAGCCCGAGGCUCAACCUCGGAACUGCCUUCGAUACUGCGGGUCUCGAGUCCGGGAGAGGUGAGUGGGAAUUCCUAGUGUAGAGGUGAAAUUCGUAGAUAUUAGGAAGAACACCAGUGGCGAAGGCGGCUGCACUGGCCCGGUACUGACGCGUGAGGCGACGAAAGCGUGGGGAGCAAACAGG
rnacentral:rRNA from 1 species